GGAGGCGGUAAUUUGUUUCUAAACUCUGGUCAACAAUGGCGAUGAAGAGACCUUUACAGUGUAUGUUGAGAAGAAAUUGCACGAGAGCAAGUUUUAGUGCUCUUCCUGAAGGCAACCCAUCUUCCCCUUCUCAAAACCUCAUCAACCUCGAGUCUCAAUGCAGUGCCCACAAUUACCAUCCGAUUCCUAUCGUUUUUUCGAAAGCUAAGGGUUCAUCCGUCUGGGAUCCAGAAGGAAAAAAAUAUCUUGAUUUCCUCUCAGCUUAUUCUGCUAUCAAUCAGGGACAUUGUCAUCCGAAGAUCAUGAAAGUAUUAGCAGAACAGGCUCAAAUGCUCACUCUCAGUUCUCGUGCCUUCUAUAAUGAUAAGUUUCCGGUAUUUGCAGAACGUAUAACCAGCAUGUUUGGAUAUGAUAUGGUGCUACCUAUGAACACUGGUGCAGAAGGGGUAGAAACAGCUCUUAAGCUGGCAAGGAAAUGGGGUUAUAUGAAGAAGAGUAUACCGAAAAAUGAGGCUCUCAUUGUCUCGUGCUGUGGCUGCUUCCAUGGUCGUACAUUGGCUGCAAUCUCCAUGAGUUGUGACAAUGAAGCUACUCAUGGAUUUUGGCCCCUAUUACCUGGGCAACUUAAAGUUGAUUUUGGAGAUUCGGUUGCCCUUGAAAAAUUAUUCAAAGAAAAAGGAGAUCAGAUAGCUGGCUUUUUGAUUGAACCAAUUCAAGGAGAGGCUGGGGUUAUAAUCCCUCCGGAAGGUUACCUGACGGCUGUUAGAGAUCUUUGCUCAAAGUACAAUAUUUUGAUGAUUGCUGAUGAAAUACAAAGUGGCUUGGCACGCUCUGGUCGAUUGCUGGCUUGUGAUUGGGAAGAAGUUCGUCCAGAUGUUGUUAUAUUGGGAAAAGCAUUAGGUGGUGGAGUCUUGCCUGUGAGUGCGGUGCUUGCAGAUAAAUAUGUUAUGCUUUGCAUUCAGGCUGGAGAGCAUGGAAGCACUUUUGGGGGGAACCCAUUGGCCAGUGCAGUUGCAAUUGCAUCUUUAGAUGUGAUUAGAGACGAAGGACUUGCCGAGAGAUCUGCUCAAAUGGGAGAACAACUUAGACAUCAGCUGAUAAAGAUUCAGCGGCAAUUUCCUCAUUUCAUAAAGGAAGUUCGAGGGAAAGGCCUAUUCAAUGCUGUGGAGCUUAAUAGCAACUCCUUAUUACCUGUGACAGCUUAUGAUAUAUGUAUGAAACUGAAAGAGAGAGGCAUUCUUGCUAAGCCAACUCAUGAUUCUAUAAUACGCUUGACGCCCCCCCUGUCAAUGAGUUUGGAGGAGCUCCAGGAAGGCUCUAAUGCCCUGCAUGAUGUUUUAGUACAUGAUCUACCAAAGAUGCAGAAAGAGAAGCCAGCAACAGUCUCCCAUGCUACCUCCAAUGUGUGUGACCGGUGUGGCCGUGACUUAUAUGGUUCUUCAUAAUAUUUAAACUAGAGGUAGCUUCCAUAGAUAGAAGUACACCCCGUCUUCUACGAUUCAUAUCAAUCCAUAUAAUCAUCUUUACUGACAUCGUAGGAAGUAUCAUCACAACACUACAGAACUCUGAUUUAUGCUAGAAAUCAGAACCGAACUAAUAUAUGUGAGUUCCGAGAAAUGCAAAUAAAGUUCUCUUCUUCUAGUACCUUGUCAUCUUAGUUCUUAUGUAUAUGCUAAUAGUUUACUGCGAUAACUGUUUAUAGUAGGUAUGAAGUGUGAAACACCUAACUUGGUAUUACCUUUUUUUACUCUC
rnacentral:misc_RNA from 1 species